AUGCACAUUCCUAGAACGUUAAUGCACUAGAUCCCAUUAGAACUUCACAGUUAAGUGCACUUGCUCUAGAGUAGUACGGAGAGCGUGACCUCUAGGGAAGUCUUAGUGUUUUACAUG
rnacentral:rRNA from 1 species